rnacentral:rRNA from 1 species
UACGUAGGGGGCAAGCGUUGUCCGGAAUUAUUGGGCGUAAAGAGCGCGUAGGCGGUCCAGUAAGUCGGUUGUGGAAGUCGGGGGCUCAACCCUCGGAUGCCGAUCGAUACUGCUGGGCUAGAGUCCGGAAGAGGCGAGUGGAAUUCCUGGUGUAGCGGUGAAAUGCGCAGAUAUCAGGAGGAACACCAAUGGCGAAGGCAGCUCGCUGGGACGGUACUGACGCUGAGGCGCGAAAGCGUGGGGAGCAAACAGG